CCUAAAGGCGUAAUGAAAGUAAAGGUCGUCCUUGUGUCGACUAAGGGAGGAUGAGCUGUAUUUUUCAAAAGACAGCUUCGCACUCUCGGGGCGUCUCAUUCUCAUUGCGAGAAGAGGCGCACCUAGAGCGUACACGUUGGGACCCGAAAGAUGGUGAACUAUGCCUGGUCAGGACGAAGUCAGGGGAAACCCUGAUGGAGGUCCGUAGCGAUUCUGACGUGCAAAUCGAUCGUCGGAACUGGGUAUAGGGGCGAAAGACUAAUCGAACCAUCUAGUAGCUGGUUCCCUCCGAAGUUUCCCUCAGGAUAGCUGGCACUCAUAUGUUACGAGUCUCAUCUGGUAAAGCGAAUGAUUAGAGGCCUUGGGGCCGAAACGACCUCAACCUAUUCUCAAACUUUAAAUGGGUGAGAUCUCUGGCUUGCUUGAAUAUAUGAAGCCAUGAGUAUAUUUUAAUAUUGGAUCAGAGUGCCAAGUGG
rnacentral:rRNA from 1 species